AGUGGCAGACGGGUGAGUAAUGUAUAGGAAUCUACCUAGUAGUACGGAAUAAUUGUUGGAAACGGCAACUAAUACCGUAUACGCCCUACGGGGGAAAGAUUUAUCGCUAUUAGAUGAGCCUAUAUUAGAUUAGCUAGUUGGUAAGGUAAUGGCUUACCAAGGCAAUGAUCUAUAGCUGAUCUGAGAGGAUGAUCAGCCACACUGGAACUGAGAUACGGUCCAGACUCCUACGGGAGGCAGCAGUGGGGAAUAUUGGACAAUGGGCGAAAGCCUGAUCCAGCCAUGCCGCAUGAGUGAAGAAGGCCUUUGGGUUGUAAAGCUCUUUCGGUGAGGAAGAUAAUGACGGUACUCACAGAAGAAGUCCUGGCUAACUCUGUGCCAGCAGCCGCGGUAAUACGGAGAGGGCUAGCGUUAUUCGGAAUCAUUGGGCGUAAAGGGCGCGUAGGCGGGUUAAUAAGUUAAAAGUGAAAUCCCAAGGCUCAACCUUGGAACUGCUUUUAAAACUGCUAGUCUAGAGAUUGAAAGAGGAUAGAGGAAUUCCUAGUGUAGAGGUGAAAUUCGUAAAUAUUANGAGGAACACCAGUGGCGAA
rnacentral:rRNA from 1 species